UACGUAGGGGGCAAGCGUUAUCCGGAUUUACUGGGUGUAAAGGGAGCGUAGACGGUAUGGCAAGUCUGAAGUGAAGGCCCAGGGCUUAACCCUGGGACUGCUUUGGAAACUGUUAGACUAGAGUGCUGGAGAGGUAAGCGGAAUUCCUAGUGUAGCGGUGAAAUGCGUAGAUAUUAGGAGGAACACCAGUGGCGAAGGCGGCUUACUGGACAGUAACUGACGUUGAGGCUCGAAAGCGUGGGGAGCAAACAGG
rnacentral:rRNA from 1 species